CCAGCGCAUUAGACAAGAGUGACCUUUUAAAUCUGUGCCCACCCUUCACCUGCGAGAGGACUGCAGCAACCGAGUUCUGGAAGGCUGAUUCCCCAGAUUCUGGCCCCGGACCCCGGCAGCUCGCCCCUGCGGCACGCCCGGCCGGAUUGCGCCUGGACUCAGCAAGCUAGGAAAAAGCCUGGAUUCGAAAGGAUGGGGGAGAACAAAGAGGCUUUGCAAGACGUCGCUGUUAUCUCAUUGUCUGUGUGACUGGGGAGCUGCGGUAGAGAGGAUGCUGUGGUCCUUUCCUCCCGGCGCUCCCCCACCCCCACGCCUUUCCCCGCUGUCAGUGCGCACGCACGCGCGCCGCUUUUUACUUGUUUUUCCCGUUUUCUCAUUCCAUCUUCUCCCCAACCGCCCCCUGCUUUCUUCCACCUUUCCUUCCUUCCUCCUCUCCUUCCUCAGGAGAAAGGCCUCUCUCUCCGUGUUCACAGCGGACCUUGAUUUAAAUGUCCAUACAAUUAAGGCACGCGGUGAAUGCCAAGAAUGGGGCUGGCUGAGCACCCGUCGGUCCGCGAGGGCCCUGCGAGGAAGGAGCCACAGA